rnacentral:rRNA from 1 species
CGGAUCGUAAAGCUCGUGUGGGGGGAGAAGAAGAAAGUCGGUGAAGAGCCGGCCCUGACGGUAUCCCCUUAGCAAGCACCGGCUAACUCCGUGCCAGCAGCCGCGGUAAUACGGAGGGUGCAAACGUUGCUCGGAAUCAUUGGGCGUAAAGCGCGCGUAGGCGGCUGAACAAGUUGGAUGUGAAAGCCCUGGGCUCAACCUAGGAUGUGCAUUCAAAACUGUUCGGCUUGAGUCUCGGAGGGGGUCAGAGAAUUCUCGGUGUAGAGGUGAAAUUCGUAGAUAUCGGGAGGAACACCAGUGGCGAAGGCGCUGACCUGGACGAUGACUGACGCUGAGGCGCGAAAGCGUGGGGAGCAAACAGGAUUAGAUACCCUGGUAGUCCACGCCGUAAACGAUGAGUGCUAGACGCUGGCGGAUUGACCCCGUCGGUGUCGAAGCUAACGCGUUAAGCACUCCGCCUGGGGAGUACGGUCGCAAGACUAAAACUCAAAGGAAUUGACGGGGGCC